UUAUAACUUCUUGUUUCAUAUCCAUCCUUACCCUUUCCCCUUUAGAUCUUGCUCUUUUCCUAGUAUAAGUCGAGGACUAAAGAACUCAUCAAGUACCUAAGUGGCAGACUUCAUUGUAUUGCCUUUUAUGUAGGAAGCGUUAUGUUUAACUUUCCUUUAUUGGAGUUGUAGCUAAGACUCUUAACUAUUAGGAAGUUUAUGAUACUAUAUCUUGUGAACUAUGAUGAAGCUCGAUGCAUUUUAUUGCACGGCAUCUUGAAGACUAUGAGACAGGGUUCUAUUAAACUUUACUGUUCUAUUUGAUGGUGCUCUGCUAACUGCAUCUCUCCUCCUGUUACUAAUCAUUUUCAUUUUUACUGUGGUUUAUUGUAAUGACUCUAUCGCCUUCAUUGAAAGCAAUGAGCAGGUCUUGUGGAAGAAGUUUAUUUUCAUUCAGUGGUUCGAUUUUUUGUAUAUUUAGCAUAGUGAUUAGUAUUGAGAUGAUUGUAACUUUCCUGUAACUUUAAGGAGGAUGUUUGUGCUUCAGGACAGGAAGAUCUUGUUAUUUGGUGAAAAAUACCUGCAUGAAUAUUUACCUGAUUUUUAUUUUGUGUUGCAGUUCGAAAAGGGAGGCUUUAAUCAAUUCUAUUGUUUCAUUUAUUUCUACUUUUGUGCUUCUAUUAUGGUUUCUGUACAUCAGUUCCUAAAAUGAUGUUGCUUUUGCAGGAGCUUGAAGUGUAUGCCACUCGAGAGAGUUCAAAUAUAGUUUGAUGUCUUGAUGAAUGAUUCUAUAGUGCAAUGUGUUCUGGAUUUUUGGAAACCUUCAUUAAUAGACUCUUGGUUUCUCUUCGUGCAGGAAAUGAGUCGCUCCUCCAGCAGUUGCAGCUCAGGGACAGCAGCAGAAAUGCCAUUACCUACUCGUAACUAUCCAGUUCAUGGGGUGGAUCAAGGGCUGGAACAAACUGAUAGAGGCCAUUCAUUUCCAGGCCUUACUCUGAACAUUCCGUAUUUUUGUGGCAAGCGUUGAGGAACUGAGCCAUGAAUGCAUAUUUCCAGCAUUCGGGGAUCAUAAAACCUACUGGUCUGAGCUUUCCUCUUUAAGAUUGUCUUGCCCUUUGAUUCACGCCCUAUGAAGAAGCAUGGUAUUUUUUGGUAGGUGGAUCGUAGAUUUUAUCCGCAGAACGGGGGACAGAUUGUGAAUUGUGAUAAAGACCAGCUUGCAACAUGUUGUUCUGCCCAACCCAACAUUUUAGAUAUCCUAGCACUACUAGUUUGAUUAUGAAUAUCUAUUCAAAGAAAAAAGCAUAAUCAUCUCCAGUACUGAGUAUCUUGGACUUUGUCGUGCACGUGCCGGAGCUGAUGCUCGUGACCGUUAUCGGGCCAUGUGAUUGGUGGUGAAGUGCAUCUUUCUUCACCGUUGUAAUAUAAAAACUUGUAGUACAGUUUUUUGUCAGAUUAGUUUAAUAUGGACUUGGUAAAACAAUUUUUAAUGUAGUUUGUAGACUGACAUAUUUUUGGAAGUCAUUGUUUAUAUUUUUGGUGGUUUAGUUUAAUGCUGCCCCUCCUCAUCCAUUGUUAGGUGGGAUUUGUUGUAUGUUAUAGUAUUUGAUCUUUUUUGGUAUCAAAAUGAUUUAGCUUUCUAGAA